rnacentral:rRNA from 1 species
AUUGAACGCUGGCGGCAUGCUUUACACAUGCAAGUCGAACGGUAACAGGGAGCUUGCUCCGCUGACGAGUGGCGAACGGGUGAGUAAUGCGUCGGAACGUGCCGAGUAGUGGGGGAUAACGCAUCGAAAGGUGUGCUAAUACCGCAUACGUACUGAGGUAGAAAGUGGGGGACCUUCGGGCCUCACGCUAUUCGAGCGGCCGACGUCUGAUUAGCUAGUUGGUGAGGUAAAGGCUCACCAAGGCGACGAUCAGUAGCGGGUCUGAGAGGAUGAUCCGCCACACUGGGACUGAGACACGGCCCAGACUCCUACGGGAGGCAGCAGUGGGGAAUUUUGGACAAUGGGCGAAAGCCUGAUCCAGCCAUUCCGCGUGCAGGAUGAAGGCCCUCGGGUUGUAAACUGCUUUUGUACAGAACGAAAAAGCUCUGGUUAAUACCUGGAGUCCAUGACGGUACUGUAAGAAUAAGCACCGGCUAACUACGUGCCAGCAGCCGCAGUAACAC